CCUCGUGUUUUAUUGUGCUGGUUUCUGGUUCACUCGUGUUCUCUUCUCUCUCUUCUUUUACAAACUCCAUCUUCACAGCAGCAGAUCUCAGUUCAGAUGAUAAACUCCUCCAGAUAUUCCUGCUCGCUUCAAAACUCAGUCACGACUGUGAGGACGAGAUUAUUACAGCGCCUCCCGCUGGACUGGAGCGAAGCGACGAGAGGAAGAAAGACCUGCACUGCGUCCGAAAUCGUAUACUGCGUACUGGACUGUGAGCCCUACAACCUACUGCCACCUGAAUGCUACUGUGCCAAUGCUUCGACUAUACUUUGAAGAUGGAUCUGACCAUCGCCUCAGCCUCCGGCUUUCACGACAGUCCAUCAUGUCCAUCAUCGCUGCUUUGAAGUCAGACUCUGACCAUGGCUGGGAAAAGGAUAUUGAGGUGCUGGUGUUCCUGUACUGGCUGGCUCAUGCAGCAUCAUAUCGGGUUGUAUCUCUGGCCUUCGACAUCCCAAAGGCCACAGUGCAUGACAUUGUGCACAGAAUCAGCAUGGAAGUCGUCAGUAUUUUGUAUUCCCGACCCUGGACGACCUGGAGGAAGUGGGGGCAGGUUUUUGCUCAACUGGCUGGGUCUUCAGCUUUUUGCAUGGUGGCUGGUGCAAUAGACGGAUUCCACAUCCGGAUCAAGCCACCAGCAAGUGAAGCCCCAUGCUACUUCAACUGAAAGCUGUUCCACUCAGUCCAGCUGCAGUUCUUCACUGACCACAAGGGGAAGUUCAUCGACAUCUUUGUCAGCUCGAGCUCGAGGCCGUGGGGAAGCAGAUUCGCGACCUGGAGGUAAGGCAGGCCCAGCUGAGAGAGUGGAGAGCCUCGCUGGAAUCAUCCCAGGCUGACGCUCACAAGUCCAGGGUAAGUAUACAGCAUGCUGUUAACAGUCAAACCACGUCUACUCCAUGUGUUUCUCUGCACAGGCCCGGUGCACCCAGGACGCGAUCUUCCCAGAUGUCCUUCACUGCGACGCCGGGACACCACGGACCCUGGGUGCAUCCACAGCGGAGGACGUGAGUCGG